ACCACCAACACCCAAAGCUGGAAUUCUACAUAAACUAUUCCUUG
rnacentral:tRNA from 1 species